GGGGACGGCGGGACGCAGCGCGGAGGAGGAAAAGCCGCGGUGAUGGAGAGAGGGGCACCCCUAUAGCUGCGGACGGGGAAUCCCCGUAUUAGAGCCCCAUCACCCCCCUGGGGAGCGGAGCCGACGGAGCUUAAAAGAGGUUCCAGCGGGUUAACGCGCUCCAGGUGUUGGAGGAGGCUACUUGCCCAGCUUGGCCGAGGAGAUGUUCAUCUAAAUCAAGGUUUCCCAUGGGUGGAAGGAGCUCACCAAGCCAAACUUCAGACUCCAAGCUGAGAGUGCCCUGACUUGAUGAGGGACUCCCCAGCCUCAAGGACCCAUCCUGCUUCCUGCCCUUCAGACAAGAGUGGGUUCAUGGCCACCUUCUGCACACACAUCAUCCCCAUAGCGGCUUCCCCAUGGAGGCAAACCCCAUUUGAAUCAGAGCCACAGGAGGGCCGCCCCCAAUUCUUGAUAGAAUCAAGAAUUAAGAAUCAUAGAGUUAAGAAUCAAGAGUCAUAGAAUUCUUGGUAGAAAGAGCUUGAUAUGUUCUUUACUCUGAGAGUGGGGAGGUGCUGGAACAGCUGCCCAGAGAGGCUGUGGAUGCCCCGUCCAUCCGUGGAGGUGUUGAAGGCCAGGUUGGAUGGGGCCCUGGGCAGCCUGGGCUGGUAUUGAAUGUGGAGGUUGGUGGCCCUGUGUGUGGUGGGGGGGUUGGAGCUUCGUGAUCCUUGAGGUCCCUUCCAACCCAGGCCAUCGUAUGAUUCUAUGAUAGAACCCUAUGGAAGGUGAUUUCCCGUUUAACAUCAAUCAAACCCAACUUGAGAGGUGACGCCGACGUGCAGAACGCAGAGCUCUGUGGCUGGGAUGGGAUCAGAGCACUCCGGGAGCUGGAAACCCAACCCACCCUGAUUUACUGGGGAUGGGGGGAAACACGGGCUGUGUGACGGCUCUGUGCUCCCUCAGCAUGGUUUUCCUGACCCCCAUUUUCCUGCACCCACCAGCAGCACUCCCCAGAGCUGAGGCUGGCCCGAAGGCUCGCUCUCAGCCCGUGUCCUUGUCAGAGGGCCAAUAUUCUUAUCUCGAGCCUGGCUGGCUUUUCUUUCUUGGAUCUUUGCCACCGCAGCUAAAAUAACACUCUCACCCCUCCCCUCUUGCAAAGGUCACGUUCCAGGGAUGAAUCCGGAGCGUCCCAGCCUGGAUUCUGGGCUUAGGACCAUGGAUGGGGCCAACACGGAUGCAGUGCAUUGAGGUGCUGGGUGAGCACACACAGGGCUGGCGGUGCCCUGGGUGGGAGCAGGCUCAGAACCAGCACCUCCAAUGCCCUCAGCUCUCUGACUAUCAGCUGAGCACACCUCCAUUCCUCCCCGGUCACGCGGUUGUUUCCUUGUAGAUCCGCCUCUCACCCUCGAACAACACUGGAAAGUCCAGAUUGGCAAAAAACAAGUUUGGAGGCAAUGGUUUGUUUAACCGACGGGUACAGUCGGUCUUGUGCUUGUUUUCUGUUUUUUUUUCUCCCCAAACAAGUCUUGAAAUCAAAGGAGAGUGCUUCCAAGCUAAAUACGAGUGGGGAGCAAUUGAGUGCUUAAUGGAGUGGGUAUUGGUCAGGACAUCACAUAAGGGAAACAUAAAUCGUGGUUAAGGAUGCGUGUAGGCAAGGAGGGAGGGAAGGAGAAGAGGAAUGAACUCAGCAUCCCAAAGGAAAGGGAGUCUGGCAGCGUAUAGCUCAUGGGACACGGGUAGAGGGAGGAGUGCAGGACCUGUAGCAAAGGCAUACAAACCUUUACAGCAGCACCGUUUUGCCAGGUUGGCUGGAGGAGCAAACCUGAGGCCUCCAGAUGUGCAAGCAGCAGCUGGGGAUGUGUUAACCCAGAAGGGCUCCUUCCCUGUGUCCCCAGAGCCACCUGCUGCCACUGGGGCUUUCCCAGGAGAUGGCGGUGCUCCUUCAUCCCCUGAAGGCCAAGGGUUGGGUGAUGCUUGACGUUGCACUGCCACUGCUACUUCAGGCUGGAGAUAAGGGAAAAGCUUUCCACCAUGAGCAAUAUCUGUCGUUGGAGGUUUCCAAGACCCACGCAAAGAGGAGAAAGCCCCACUCAACCUGGUCUGAGCCCAGCGCUGCCCAUGCUGUGAGUAGGAUGGUGGAGUUGGGGUCUCCUGUGGUUCCUUCCAACCUGAAUUAUCCCAGCAUCUUCUGCUCAGCGGAUCCCCACAGACCGGGGUCAGAGUGAAGGUGCAAAGCCAUGUCAGCGAUGGAGCAGCCCAGACCUACAGGGGCAGCCCUGCGUCUGUGUGCUCCUGCAAAGCCCAGCCCAGCAGAUCAAGCACAGGCGAUCAACAUGCAGAAGUCAUCUGGU